UCUGAAAAUUUCAAAUUUGUUCCCUUUUUCUUGAUCAAACUAUCCAUGCUUUUAAUUUCGAGUUCUACUUACACCCAUCAGUCCCUACAGAGUUCAGUAUACACAACCAAGUCGGAGAAAUAACACACAGGAAAUUGCCUUCUGAACAAUACAAAAAAAGACAAAUUUAGUUUUAAGCAUAAAGUGUUAAAUAACAUUUUUGAAAAACACUUUCUUAAUAAACAAAACCCAACAAACAAAUGCUUGCUAAAGGACAUAAAAGGAGAUUGUACAAAAAAACCCGGUUAACCAUGCACUUGCCAACUAAAUGCGAUUGAUACUUUUUUCUGGCUCGAGAACGUAAACUUCAAAUUCCCUGUUAAACACUUAAACGGAAUGGCAAACAAGUUGAGUGGAGGAUCAACCGUAUCCUGCAGUGCAGUUCAGUUCUCAAUCAAUUAUCGACUGGACAAAUAAUGGCAAGCACUUGAAAGUUCGAAAACAGAUGUCCAACAAGGAGGAUACUGGAGUCAACUACUGAACUGCACCAUUGAAACUUAAACCAUCCCACCACUCUAUUGGAUCUUGUCCCUGCUCUUCUCGUCCGGCACUAUUAUUUGUAAACACAAAGACACUUACAAAAAUACACUUGGCAAAAAAGAAAA